rnacentral:rRNA from 1 species
GACGAACGCUGGCGGCGUGCUUAACACAUGCGAGUCGAACGGAAAGGCCUGCUUUCCCUUGUGGAUUGCGGGUACUCGAGUGGCGAACGGGUGAGUAACACGUGAGUGAUCUGCCCCCAACUUGGGUAUAAGCCUGGGAAACUGGGUCUAAUUCCCGAUAGGACUGCAGGGUGGUGCCUGUGGUGGAAAACGAUUUUCUAGUGGUUGGGGAUGAGCUCGCGGCCUAUCAGCUUGUGGGUGGGGUAAUGGCCUACCAAGGCGGCGACGGGUAGCCGGCCUGAGAGGGUGGACGGCCACAUUGGGACUGAGAUACGGCCCAGACUCCUACGGGAGGCAGCAGUGGGGAAUAUUGCACAAUGGGCGGAAGCCUGAUGCAGCGACGCCGCGUGGGGGAUGACGGCCUUCGGGUUGUAAACUCCUUUCGACCGCGAGGAAGCCACCUGGUUGGAAGGGUGGUGACGGUAGUGGUAGAAGAAGCACCGGCUAACUACGUG